rnacentral:rRNA from 1 species
CGGCGACCGGCGCACGGGUGAGUAACACGUAUGCGACCUGCCCGUAGCAGGGGGAUAAGCGGAAGAAAUUCCGUCUAAUACCGCGUAAUAUCUUUCGGGGGCAUCCCUGAGGGAUUAAAGGAAGCGAUUCCGGCUACGGAUGGGCAUGCGGCGCAUUAGCUAGUCGGCGGGGUAACGGCCCACCGAGGCGACGAUGCGUAGGGGUUCUGAGAGGAAGGCCCCCCACACUGGGACUGAGACACGGCCCAGACUCCUACGGAAGGCAGCAG